GGUGAACGCUGGCGGCGUGCUUAACACAUGCAAGUCGAACGAAGCACUCUGAUUACUUCGGUUUGAAGAGUGACUGAGUGGCGGACGGGUGAGUAACGCGUGGGUAACCUGCCUCAUACAGGGGGAUAACAGUUAGAAAUGGCUGCUAAUACCGCAUAAGCGCACAGUACCGCAUGGUACGGUGUGAAAAACUCCGGUGGUAUGAGAUGGACCCGCGUCUGAUUAGCUAGUUGGUGGGGUAACGGCCCACCAAGGCGACGAUCAGUAGCCGACCUGAGAGGGUGGCCGGCCACAUUGGGACUGAGACACGGCCCAA
rnacentral:rRNA from 1 species